rnacentral:rRNA from 1 species
GAUGAACGCUGGCGGCGUGCUUAACACAUGCAAGUCGAACGAAGCACUUUAUUUGAUUUCCUUCGGGACUGAUUAUUUUGUGACUGAGUGGCGGACGGGUGAGUAACGCGUGGGUAACCUGCCUUGUACAGGGGGAUAACAGUUGGAAACGGCUGCUAAUACCGCAUAAGCGCACAGCAUCGCAUGAUGCAGUGUGAAAAACUCCGGUGGUAUAAGAUGGACCCGCGUUGGAUUAGCUAGUUGGUGAGGUAACGGCCCACCAAGGCGACGAUCCAUAGCCGACCUGAGAGUGUGACCGGCCACAUUGGGACUGAGACACGGCCCAAACUCCUACGGGAGGCAGCAGUGGGGAAUAUUGCACAAUGGGCGAAAGCCUGAUGCAGCGACGCCGCGUGAGCGAAGAAGUAUUUCGGUAUGUAAAGCUCUAUCAGCAGGGAAGAUAAUGACGGUACCUGACGAAGAAGCACCGGCUAAAUACGUG